CCUACGGGAGGCAGCAGUGAGGAAUAUUGGUCAAUGGACGAGAGUCUGAACCAGCCAAGUAGCGUGAAGGAUGACUGCCCUAUGGGUUGUAAACUUCUUUUAUAUGGGAAUAAACUGUUCCACGUGUGGGUUUUUGUAUGUACCAUAUGAAUAAGGAUCGGCUAACUCCGUGCCAGCAGCCGCGGUAAUACGGAGGAUCCGAGCGUUAUCCGGAUUUAUUGGGUUUAAAGGGUGCGUAGGUGGAUUGUUAAGUCAGUUGUGAAAGUUUGCGGCUCAACCGUAAAAUUGCAGUUGAAACUGGCAGUCUUGAGUACAGUAGAGGUAGGCGGAAUUCGUGGUGUAGCGGUGAAAUGCUUAGAUAUCACGAAGAACUCCGAUUGCGAAGGCAGCUCACUGGACUGCAACUGACACUGAGGCUCGAAAGUGUGGGUAUCAAACAGGAUUAGAUACCCCAGUAGUC
rnacentral:rRNA from 1 species